GUAGUACUCCCUGUGUUUAGAAUUACUCGUCUAAAAAAUGAAUAUAUCUAGAUGUAUUUUAGUUGUAGAUACAUUCAUUUUUAUGACAAGUAAUUCUAAACGAAGGGAGUACGUG
rnacentral:pre_miRNA from 1 species